ACCUUACCAGGUCUUGACAUCCUCUGACAAUCCUAGAGAUAGGACGUCCCCUUCGGGGGCAGAGUGACAGGUGGUGCAUGGUUGUCGUCAGCUCGUGUCGUGAGAUGUUGGGUUAAGUCCCGCAACGAGCGCAACCCUUGAUCUUAGUUGCCAGCAUUCAGUUGGGCACUCUAAGGUGACUGCCGGUGACAAACCGGAGGAAGGUGGGGAUGACGUCAAAUCAUCAUGCCCCUUAUGACCUGGGCUACACACGUGCUACAAUGGACAGAACAAAGGGCAGCGAAACCGCGAGGUUAAGCCAAUCCCACAAAUCUGUUCUCAGUUCGGAUCGCAGUCUGCAACUCGACUGCGUGAAGCUGGAAUCGCUAGUAAUCGCGGAUCAGCAUGCCGCGGUGAAUACGUUCCCGGGCCUUGUACACACCGCCCGU
rnacentral:rRNA from 1 species